rnacentral:rRNA from 1 species
GACAAGGACCCCAAAGUGAAGAACCCAAACAGAAUCAAGGACCUGCGGCCAAUCAACUUAUGCAAUGUGAUCUACAAAUUGGUUUCCAAGGUGUUGGCCAACCGGCUAAAGUUGAUUCUGCCGGAGAUCAUCUCGGAUAACCAAAGUGCCUUCGUGCCAGGGAGGUUAAUCACGGAUAAUGUCCUUAUUGCAUACGAACUCUCACACUUCUUGCUCAACAAGAAACAUGGCAAUGAAGGGGUUGCUGCGGUGAAAGCGGACAUGAGUAAAGCAUAUGAUCGAGUCGAAUGGAACUUCCUG